AUUGAACGCUGGCGGCAGGCCUAACACAUGCCAGUCGAGCGGAUGAAGGGAGCUUGCUCCUGGAUUCAGCGGCGGACAGGUGAGUAAUGCCUAGGAAUCUGCCUGGUAGUGGGGGAUAACGUCCGGAAACGGGCGCUAAUACCGCAUACGUCCUGAGGGAGAAAGUGGGGGAUCUUCGGACCUCACGCUAUCAGAUGAGCCUAGGUCGGAUUAGCUAGUUGGUGGGGUAAAGGCCUACCAAGGCGACGAUCCGUAACUGGUCUGAGAGGAUGAUCAGUCACACUGGAACUGAGACACGGUCCAGACUCCUACGGGAGGCAGCAGUGGGGAAUAUUGGACAAUGGGCGAAAGCCUGAUCCAGCCAUGCCGCGUGUGUGAAGAAGGUCUUCGGAUUGUAAAGCACUUUAAGUUGGGAGGAAGGGCAGUAAGUUAAUACCUUGCUGUUUUGACGUUACCAACAGAAUAAGCACCGGCUAACUUCGUG
rnacentral:rRNA from 1 species